GGCAUCUGAAAAGGUAACGAAGAGGUAUACUGACAACAUCCAGAUAUGUCAUCCAUCUACGGAAGGGGUACCAUUCAACCAUCAGACAAUUUCAAUUCAGAAAGAGCAGCAGCUAAAUUACGGAGGGCCAUGAAAGGAAUUGGUACAGAUGAAAGGAUAGUUAUCGACAUUUUAACUAAUCAUAGUAACGAUCAACGACAAGAAAUUAAAGCGAAAUACCAAUCUAUGUAUGGUCGAGAUCUAAUCGAAGAUCUAAGAGCCGAGCUUGGUGGUCAUUUUGAAGAUGUUUGCACAGCUUUAUUAAUUCCGAAAUAUGAAUAUUUGGCAGAAUGUCUUUAUAGGGCCGUCAAGGGGGCUGGUACAGACGAAAACUGUAUUAUUGAAAUUUUGUGUACUCACGAAUGCUGGGAAAUAAAAGAAAUUCGAAAAAUUUUUCGCGAAGUGUAUGAAGAAGAUUUGAUAAAAUUUUUGUGUCAUGAUCUAAGUGGUGAUUUCAAGAAAAUCAUCAAGGCCUUGGCUAAUGCCAAUAGAGAAGAAGCAGAUAAGGUCGAUGAUGAUUUAGCAGAGAAAGAAGCUCAGAAACUUUUUGAUGCCGGUGUAGGAAAAUCUUGGGGCACAGAUACCGAAGUGUUUCUUCCCAUUCUUUGUUCUCGAAGUUAUCCCCAACUUCGUCUCAUAUUCGAAGCUUACGAAAGAAUUUCCGGUCAUUGCUUAUCGGCUGCUAUCGAAAACGAAUUUGAAGGAGAUGUUCGAAGAGUAUUUCUGGCUAUAGUUCACAGCAUAACGGACACAUGGGAUUAUUUCGCUCAUCAGUUGAACGAAUGUAUGAGUGGUCCGGGAACCAAUGAUCGAACAUUAAUUCGUAUAUUAGUAUCGAGAUCCGAGAUUGAUUUAGAAGAUAUCAAGAGAGUCUUUAGAAAGACAUUCGAGAAAGAUUUAACUGAAGCUAUUGCUGAAGAUACAAGUGGUGAUUAUAGAAAAAUACUUUUGAGGAUAAUCAGAAAUUGAUAAAAAAAAGUUUCGAAUUUUAAAACGAAGUGUAGGAGUAUUUAUAAAGCAUUUCAAUAUAGAAUAUAGAGAUGAUAUUUUCCUGUAGACGCAAACUGUGUAUUUUAUAUGUAGUCUUCGGUAUUUUCGACGAAAUAAAAAACAG